rnacentral:tRNA from 1 species
AAGAAAUUAGUUAAAUAAUAACAUUAAUAUGUCACAUUAAAAUUAUUAAUUAUAUUAAUAUCUCUUU